rnacentral:rRNA from 1 species
UACGUAGGUGACCAGCGUUGUCCGGAUUUACUGGGCGUAAAGAGCGCGCAGGCGGUCGUUCAAGUCGAGUGUGAAAGCCCCCGGCUCAACUGGGGAGGGUCAUUCGAUACUGAUCGACUUGAAGGCAGGAGAGGGAAGUGGAAUUCCCGGUGUAGUGGUGAAAUGCGUAGAGAUCGGGAGGAACACCAGAGGCGAAGGCGGCGACCUGGACAAGUACUGACACUCAACUGCGAAAGCGUGGGGAGCAAACAGG